rnacentral:rRNA from 1 species
GAUGAACGCUGGCGGCGUGCCUAAUACAUGCAAGUCGAGCGAACAGACGAGGAGCUUGCUCCUUUGACGUUAGCGGCGGACGGGUGAGUAACACGUAGGUAACCUACCUAUAAGACUGGGAUAACUUCGGGAAACCGGAGCUAAUACCGGAUAAUAUUUCGAACCGCAUGGUUCGAUAGUGAAAGAUGGCUUUGCUAUCACUUAUAGAUGGACCUGCGCCGUAUUAGCUAGUUGGUAAGGUAACGGCUUACCAAGGCAACGAUACGUAGCCGACCUGAGAGGGUGAUCGGCCACACUGGAACUGAGACACGGUCCAGACUCCUACGGGAGGCAGCAGUAGGGAAUCUUCCGCAAUGGGCGAAAGCCUGACGGAGCAACGCCGCGUGAGUGAUGAAGGUCUUCGGAUCGUAAAACUCUGUUAUUAGGGAAGAACAAACGUGUAAGUAACUGUGCACGUCUUGACGGUACCUAAUCAGAAAGCCACAGCUAACUACGUG